rnacentral:rRNA from 1 species
CCUACGGGAGGCAGCAGUGGGGAAUUUUGGACAAUGGGCGCAAGCCUGAUCCAGCAAUGCCGCGUGCAGGAUGAAGGCCUUCGGGUUGUAAACUGCUUUUGUACGGAACGAAAAGGUCUCCUCUAAUAAAGGGGGCCCAUGACGGUACCGUAAGAAUAAGCACCGGCUAACUACGUGCCAGCAGCCGCGGUAAUACGUAGGGUGCGAGCGUUAAUCGGAAUUACUGGGCGUAAAGCGUGCGCAGGCGGUUAUAUAAGACAGUUGUGAAAUCCCCGGGCUCAACCUGGGAACUGCAUCUGUGACUGUAUAGCUAGAGUACGGUAGAGGGGGAUGGAAUUCCGCGUGUAGCAGUGAAAUGCGUAGAUAUGCGGAGGAACACCGAUGGCGAAGGCAAUCCCCUGGACCUGUACUGACGCUCAUGCACGAAAGCGUGGGGAGCAAACAGGAUUAGAUACCCUGGUAGUCCACGCCCUAAACGAUGUCAACUGGUUGUUGGGAAUUCACUUUCUCAGUAACGAAGCUAACGCGUGAAGUUGACCGCCUGGGGAUACGGCCGCAAGGUUGAAACUCAAAGGAUUGACGGCUGAGACGNGCGAGACGACGACGAGGAGGAGG